rfam:Pteropus alecto contig17921, whole genome shotgun sequence.
GUGUUUGUUUCAAUGACAUAUAUAUUAAUUUUAGAACAGAGCAGAGAUGACUAGUGUGAAUCCUGUACAAGGAUUACAUAAAAAUUUAUGAGAGGUUCCACAUUUUU